AUACCUUUCUCGGCCUUUUGCCUAAGAUCAAGUGUAGUAUCUGUUCUUAUCAGUUUAAUAUCUGAUACGUGGUUCUGAUAUGUGGUUCAUAGAACCACAUGAUAUUAAAUGUAUUUUUCUAGGGGGAGGGCCCACUCACAAUAGCUUGUUAUUGGGGCUCUCAGGCGUCGAUUGAAUUUUAUUUGUUUUGGUAAUUUGAAACAUGUGCAUUUCAU
rnacentral:snRNA from 1 species